CACACACAGACCCUGGAUCACCAAAGCUCCUCUGACAAGGUGCUCUAUUGGGAUUACUACUAGUACUGGUCUUGCUUGUGGACUACUUUGCUGGUGGUGGAACUGGAAUGAGAUAACAUACUCGAUAACUCGGCCAAUGUGAGCAGACGCUGGUCCUGAGAGAAAAACACGAUAGAUGUUGAGGCGACAUCAUCAGAAAAUCAGAAACAUAUUUGCGCAUGUUGGCGACAGAAGUGGCACAUCACCCCGGCUGUCAAACCAGGUACCAAGCAUUCAAACAUUCAAUUCAAACCGUUUUUCUACAACAUUUUUCGGGUUGUUUCACUUUCGGUUGUCAGAUUCUAAAUUCCAAAAGAAGCCUACAGAAUCCGGAUGAGGUCUCGACUGCUCCAGGGUAGCAGCAGGUGUUUCAAUUAAUCCGGUGACCCAGUCAAAUGGAGACUCUCCGCCGAUUGCGGCCAUAGUCACUCGUAGUGACUGGUGUAAAUGGUUGGCUGAGAUUACAAACACAGGUGCGGGUGUGAUAAAAAAUUGAGAGCUCUCAGAGCGUGGAAGUACCAAGCAGAAUCCCCGGUGCUGCUACCGGACUGCUGCAGAGAUCCAAGGAGAGGUGUGAGGAGUUCUACAACGCCUGGAUCGGCAACGUAGUUGCUAGACAGUAUUACAGCCUCUGGAUACUUCUUCCACCACUGGUUUUGACAUCUUGUAAGACGGGCGACUCAACCUUUCCAGUUAGCUGAUUGGGGACCAGCUGGCUGUACAGUUCUCAGGUUAGAAAUCAGAGCGACUUUGUCUUUCUAUCUGUUUCUCAUAUGUUUGCCUGUUUAUAUGUUCAAUGUUUCACUUGUUGGCUUCGGGCUUCAAAUUGGAUUUGUGAAUAAGAAAAGUCUGAGGAGAUUCAUUUGACAUAAAGACACAAUCCCGCACAACAGAAGCACAUUAAAACCUUGUGAAGCCAUUUGGUCGUCAUUGCACAUUCCACCGGAGUUCUCUGGCUCGGGGGGGAGGGACCCUGACACACCCUGUGGGAACGGAGGGAGGGAGGAGGCGUGUAAGUCUGCCCCCACGCUAAUGCUUUGGUUCAUGACUGAAACGUUUUUCCUCAUCUGAACUGAGGAGGAGCCUAAUGUGCAGGGUUGGUCUGUUUGGGGUAAGUGGACUGUACAUGUGUCCUCCGACCACUCAAAGCACUUUAACACUACCGAACACACUUGUGACAGGGCCCAUCAGGUAAUUUGGGGUUGAGUGUCUUUCCCCAAGGACAUGGACUAGCGGUGCCAGGGUUCGAACCACUGGUCCUCUGAUUGAAGGACACUACUCUACUGCUGAGUCUUGCCAACUCAAACAACUCAAAUACCACUAACAAUAAGAUGUUACUUUUGACAUGGUGAAAAGCUAAAGCAACUUUAUGACGAAAAAGCCGUGAGCAGAAGCCUUUUAUCAGUUAAUCUACCUUUUAUUUAUUACACUUGUCCGCAACAAGAAACAAUAUACAUGUAUAUGAUACAACACAUACCACAAGAAUUCCAUAUAAAUACUAUAUGCACACUCUUGUGUCUGGAGCUUGAUGUUCUGCCCCAAGUUACCAAAAGCGCCAAAAUGACUUUGUAGGAAGUUAGAGUUUAAUGGCAGUGUACCAAGCAAAACCAGCUUGUGUUCAUUUCCUGGUAUGACCUGUUGGUGAAUCUGCUUUUUCCAUUCUGAGGAGACAGACGGGGGAUGGGAGUGUGUGGUGUGUACAUGUCUGACUGAACGAGCAAAAAGAAGAGAGGACGGAGAAAAAGUCCAACACAGACAAAGUGGAGAAAAGGAGUGAGAGAGACGGAUCUUCUGCCCAGAAUGAACAUCGGUCGUCAUCCAAAGGCAGCCAAUCUGAGACCUACUCCCCUGCCUCACACACACACACACAGCGGCUCCACAUCAAUGGCUGAGGAACUUUUCUUUUUGGUCAAAGCUCCUCCCACUCUUCCUCCCUCUUUCUGAGGUUGAUACAGUCCAGACCAGCAGAGAACCCACCCAGACACACACCUCCCUUUUGUGAUCGCUAUUUCUCUCUCAUAUUUUAACAUUAACUAUCAUGCUGAGCCCUGUGUAAAAAAUAUGAAAAAUAAACAGUGUCCUGAGGCUACGAGCAGGGGGAGAUUUCCGUUUUUUUCAAUUGCUAAAAAGCAUUGCUGAAACCAUACUUUUAAACCUCUUCACAUAUUCUUCAUUAUCAAUAUUAAUUUGGGCCAAACAGUUAAUGAAACCUCCAAAACAACUAAUUUGUUUUCGUGCACAUCUGAAAGGUUUCAGCCUCUCCCUCCUCUCUGAGCCAAACGUUGGGUCCUAAAACACAACAGUUACUGUAUUGUAACAGGUUUCAACAUUUAGACUAUGUAUUGUACUGUAAUAUGUAUCAUCUCACUUGUUUUGCUGGAAAAUUUGUACUAUUGACGCAACUGUUGAGCAGUGCAGAUUUGGUUGCACCCUUUGACCGGCCUCUCAAAGUGAGACCAGUGAGACCAGUGAGACACAGAAUUGUCUGCUGUGAUCCAUAUUUCUAAACAAAAUCAGUUCCAAGCUAUUGGCUUUUACUGAAACAUGGUGAUGAGAGUAAAGCAGGACACCUGGAUCAGCUUUGAGCUAAAAUUGCAAUUAGCUUGGACUGAUUUUUCUUUCUAUUUUCUAUAUUUCUAAAAUAAUUACUGCAGAAUUUUUUGAAAUUUGUCAUCAUUCUGAUUUGAAUGUGUUUUUAUCAGUUGAUUUUGAAAACUGUGGUAAUUGAAUGCAUUUUGUCUGAAAGCAAUGAAAAAGGAUUUUUGACCAGCAAUUGUUGAUAAAAAUGUUUGUUUGUUUUUUGGUAAGGUUCAGGAAACAGGUGGCGGCUCGGAUCUCUGCCUGUCUAACUGACAUCUCUCAGUGGAUGUCCGCCCACCAUCUGAAAAUCAACCCCGACAAGACUGAACUACUUCUCUUUCCCGGAAAAGAUUCGCU
ensembl:lncRNA